GUUGUAGUGGCUCAGUGGUUAAGGCUUUGCAUUACAGAUUAAAAGCUCUGGGUUCAAAUCCCAGCAAUGCCA